rnacentral:rRNA from 1 species
GAGUUCAAAGAGGUCUGGAACCGUUUAGGGGUAACCUGAGAAACCCGAAAGGUCGAAUGGGGAAAUUCAUCGUGUAUCGGCUGGGGCAGAAUUAAAUAGAUGUGUCGUAAGAGACGCACAGUGUUCUUUAUUGAACACACAGCGCUCCGUCUAUCUAAUAAAAUACUGCUGUCGAACGCGUGCACUUUUCCCCUAGUAGGACAUCGUGAUCCGUUAGGCGUUGGUCUAAGACAUAUGCGGUGGAGUUCGUAAAUUCAAUGUUAUAUAAAAUGUUGAGACUUUUGCGUACCCGUAAUGUUCUGGCCAACAUGCUUGACGGUAUAUGAAAGGCGCGAGGCCGCUUCACAGCGUCUGGCCCGUAGCAAGCACACCCGUACGUUGGUGACCGGCCCUGGUGCCGUUCCUGACCUCGUGGUGACUGUUGGCUGCGGUGUUCUUAGGCAGACCUCGUUUCCAUAAAAACAUAAUAACAUAUGUUUUGGAGGAGCCGCCGAUCAACGAUGCUAUAGCUUUGGGUACUUUCAGGACCCGUCUUGAA